AACGAACGCUGGCGGCGCGUCUUAAGCAUGCAAGUCGAACGGCAAGAGAGGAGCUUGCUUCUCUCCUAGAGUGGCGGACUGGUGAGGAACACGUGGGUAAUCUACCCUUAAGAUGGGGAUAGCUGCUAGAAAUAGCAGGUAAUACCGAAUACACUCGGCAUAUCACAAGAGGUGUUGAGGAAAGGAAGCUACGGCUUCGCUUGAGGAUGAGCUUGCGUCCCGUUAGCUAGUUGGUGAGGUAAAGGCCCACCAAGGCGACGAUGGGUAUCCGGCCUGAGAGGGUGAACGGACACAUUGGGACUGAGAUACGGCCCAAACUCCUACGGGAGGCAGCAGCUAAGAAUAUUCCGCAAUGGACGGAAGUCUGACGGAGCGACGCCGCGUGGAUGAAGAAGGCUGAAAAGUUGUAAAAUCCUUUUGUUGAUGAAGAAUAAGGGUGAGAGGGAAUGCUCAUCUGAUGACGGUAAUCGACGAAUAAGCCCCGGCUAAUUACGUG
rnacentral:rRNA from 1 species